rnacentral:rRNA from 1 species
AGCGAACGCUGGCGGCAGGCUUAACACAUGCAAGUCGAGCGGGCACUUCGGUGUCAGCGGCAGACGGGUGAGUAACACGUGGGAACGUACCCUUUGGUUCGGAAUAACGCUGGGAAACUAACGCUAAUACCGGAUACGCCCUUUUGGGGAAAGGCUUGCUGCCGAAGGAUCGGCCCGCGUCUGAUUAGCUAGUUGGUGGGGUAAUGGCCUACCAAGGCGACGAUCAGUAGCUGGUCUGAGAGGAUGAUCAGCCACACUGGGACUGAGACACGGCCCAGACUCCUACGGGAGGCAGCAGUGGGGAAUAUUGGACAAUGGGCGCAAGCCUGAUCCAGCCAUGCCGCGUGAGUGAUGAAGGCCUUAGGGUUGUAAAGCUCUUUUGUCCGGGACGAUAAUGACGGUACCGGAAGAAUAAGCCCCGGCUAACUUCGUG